GAGAUCACACCUGUACACACCAGCGCAUCGGGCCCAUCCUGGGCAGUGGGACGCUGCAGACGGAGGUGAAGCCGGUGCUGGAGAAGUUGACGCAGGACCAGGACGUCGACGUCAAGUAUUUCGCACAGGAGGCACUGACAGUGCUGGCCUUGGCCUGACCCCCCCCGGGACCCUCCCGCAUGUGACCAGCGC